AUUGAACGCUGGCGGCAGGCCUAACACAUGCAAGUCGAACGGUAACAGGAAGCAGCUUGCUGCUUCGCUGACGAGUGGCGGACGGGUGAGUAAUGUCUGGGAAACUGCCUGAUGGAGGGGGAUAACUACUGGAAACGGUAGCUAACACCGCAUAACGUCGCAAGACCAAAGAGGGGGACCUUCGGGCCUCUUGCCAUCAGAUGUGCCCAGAUGGGAUUAGCUAGUAGGUGGGGUAAUGGCUCACCUAGGCGACGAUCCCUAGCUGGUCUGAGAGGAUGACCAGCCACACUGGAACUGAGACACGGUCCAGACUCCUACGGGAGGCAGCAGUGGGGAAUAUUGCACAAUGGGCGCAAGCCUGAUGCAGCCAUGCCGCGUGUGUGAAGAAGGCCUUCGGGUUGUAAAGCACUUUCAGCGAGGAGGAAGGCGGUGAGGUUAAUAACCUCAUCGAUUGACGUUACUCGCAGAAGAAGCACCGGCUAACUCCGUGCCAGCAGCCGCCGUAA
rnacentral:rRNA from 1 species